rnacentral:sRNA from 1 species
GCUGGGGUAUGGAGGUUCUCUACGCUCUCCCCACUUCUUUCCAGGGACACUGCACCUCUGAGAAAUCCCAGGGGUGGAUGAGGCACCUAGCUGGUGCCCGCCUGCAGGCUGCUCGCUUGCUGAGAGGCGGCGUGCCAGCUCCGCGCACUGCGCCUCAGUGCCAGAUCAGGGAGCUGUCGGCUCAGCGCCCACGCCCCUCCGCUUCAGCUCCGGGGAGCCCCAGGGUGGGCUGCUGGAAGGCGCGACUGCAACUUGAUUUUGCCUCACUGUUGUUGCUGGCAGAAUACGUACACCAAUGCGGACAAGCUCCUAGAAGCAGCAGAGCAGUUGGCUCAGACGGGGGAAUGUGACCCCGAGGAGAUCUACAAGGCAGCUCGACACCUGGAGGUGCGCAUCCAAGACUUCGUGCGCAGGGUGGAGCAGCGGAAGCUUCUCCUGGACAUGUCUGUUUCCUUCCACACACACACCAAAGAGUUGUGGACAUGGAUGGAAGACCUUCAGAAGGAGAUGUUGGAGGAUGUCUGUGCAGAUUCUGUGGAUGCAGUCCAGGAACUGAUCAAGCAGUUCCAGCAGCAGCAGACCGCCACUCUAGAUGCCACACUCAAUGUCAUCAAGGAAGGCGAAGACCUUAUCCAGCAGCUCAGGUCAGCGCCUCCCUCCCUCGGGGAGCCCAGCGAGGCCAGGGACUCGGCUGUGUCCAACAACAAAACACCCCACAGCAGCUCCAUCAGCCACAUCGAGUCGGUCCUGCAGCAGCUUGAUGAUGCCCAGGUGCAGAUGGAGGAGCUGUUCCACGAGCGGAAGAUCAAGCUGGACAUCUUCCUGCAACUGCGCAUCUUUGAGCAGUACACCAUCGAG